UACGUAGGGGGCAAGCGUUGUCCGGAUUUAUUGGGCGUAAAGAGCGUGUAGGCGGCCUGAAAGGUCAGCUGUGAAAACUCGAGGCUCAACCUCGAGACGUCGGUUGAAACCAUCUGGCUAGAGUCCGGAAGAGGAGUGUGGAAUUCCCGGUGUAGCGGUGAAAUGCGCAGAUAUCGGGAGGAACACCUGUGGCGAAAGCGGCUCACUGGACCAUAACUGACGCUGAUGCACGAAAGCUGGGGGAGCAAACAGG
rnacentral:rRNA from 1 species